AUCCAACUGAAGAGUCCAAAGUAGGACGAAACGCACGUCCUAUAU
rnacentral:hammerhead_ribozyme from 1 species